GAGUUUAUGGCCGUAAGCUCUCAAACAUAAUGACAUUAUUUGUUUUAAAGUGUUUCUUGAUUUCUAAAAGAAGUUCUACUUGGUGGUUAAAUCCUAGGACUAGUGUAGGGCAUUAAGACACUCCUUUUAGGAGUUUUUGUCCCUAAGGCCAUUUCCUUUUGAGUUUACUGCCAUAAACUCAUAUGGAAGUGGGUAUUUUUAUGUUUUCAAGUCCUUAAUUUCACUAGGAAUAAAACUAGGCUUUUGUACUUGGCUUUAUGAGAGUUUAUGGCACCAUUUGGCACCAUUUAAUGGAGAUCACGGCCCUAGAACCUUUUGGGCCGUGAACACCUUACUCUUGGUGUUCUAAGUGUGUUAGCUAGUCCUAAACUCAUUUAGGUACAUGCCUAAAUUAGUCUCUUAGCUUAAGGAGGGUUUUUAGGGCACUUUGGCACAUAAAAAUGGAGUACACGGCCCAAGAACUUCCUUGGUCGUGAACUCACUUUAACCCUUUGUUUCUAAUUGAUUUUGUGUCCGAAACAUGAAAUGGUGGCUUCUAGUUUGAGUUCCAAGGCUUUGAGGGACAUUGGGACACUUUUGGCCCUUAAAAUGGAGUUUACUCCCCAAGUGUUCUUGGGCGGUAAACUCCCAAAUCUUGGGGUUUUGAUUCGAUUUUGAUGUUUCUAAACACAAUCUAAGCUAUAUAAUAUAACUAGAUCGAAGUACUCACAAUUUGGGAUAAAAACCCGAAGAUCCGUGAGAGAGAAUUUUGGCUUUUCUCUAAUUGGAAAUGUAACUAAUGAAUUAUUUUGGUUCAGAUUUCUAUAUAUAGUCCUGGGAUUUUUGGCAAGAAAAUAUUUUUAUUCCCGGAAUGAACUCUAAUAUCCUAGAGUAUUGGAAUAACAGUGUUGCACAAAACCCUAGUGCAUCCACUCUCCUAAUAUCUCCUUAAGUGUAAAUCCUGAAAAACUGCCAAACUUAUACCUGAAGUCUGGAAUUUCACUGUAGCUGUUCUAACUUCUAUUGGCUUGAUAUGGUUUGUUCAGAAUGGAAAUUUCGGGUUGUCACAUCAUCCCCCUGUUGAAGGGAAUUUCGUCCCGAAAUUAGAAUGUAGGCAAGGAAGUAGGUACGAAUGAUCGAGUCGUGAGGAGGAAACUUCCUAAUCGAUUGGUUCUCGUGCUCCUAAGUGAAAUCGGGUCCUUGUUUGGUAUUCCAACGAACUUUCACUAAUGGGCGAAAGCGUUGCUUCAUCUGCUUGACCACUCGAUUGAGGGUCACUACGGUUCUAAUACGAAGGCGAGGAUCUCGACGAGUAGACUUACAAGAGUCCUAACAGAAAGGUAUGGUUUCACGAUCGAGACGCGAAGAGUAGAAUGUACGUUACUGAGUUCGCGGAGUAGGUCUAGUGUGUGCGAGGUACAGGACCGAUUCUGGUAAGAAUCUCGGAGGUCCUAUUUAUCUUGGAUUUAGCUUUCCACGCUUUAUGAAGCGUAUUAAGCCGUUCCCAGAGUGAGACUUCCUAAAGAAUUUGGUCUCUCACUUGGAAUCUCCAGAGUUUGCUUUUCUUGUUUAACUUCCCAGUCAAGGGCCACUCCUUACUGGGUCAAGGUCGAAAGGGUUUCUGUAAUUUACGAGGAGUUAUGGACAAACUAUGAUAGUAGGUCUGUAAAACCUAGAAUUUGGCGAAUGUAUGUCGGCGUCUCUGGUGUCAACAAAUUCUCAACAGUUUUGACAAAUUGAAAGAGUACUCAAGAAUUUCCACAUCACUAAUAGUCUGUCUUAGGAAAUUUUGACUCUUCAAUUCCAAAACUCGAGUUCAGAGAACUUUGUGAAAAGUAUCUCCGAGGGUGAUGUUUCCAGAGGUUCCUUCUUACCACGAGGUUAGAUAAGUAAGUCAUUACAUGGAGAAAUGACGAACUGAUCCAAGUAAGAAAGACGUACUCAACUCAUUUAGCUCAUGAAAGCUAUGGGCGUAUUGGUCGUAUCCGAAGGGUAUCACUACGGACUCGAAGUGUCCGUAUCGAGUUCGGAAGAUAGUCUUCCGGACAUCCUUCUCUAACACUCGAACUGGUGAUAUUCGGAUCUCAGAUCCAUUUCUGAAAGUAAUUCUUUCCUUGCGUUUGCUCAACCAUUUCAUCUAUGCGAGGCAGAGAUAACGAUUUCUAAUGAAAAAUCUUGACGGAGACCUCGAUAUCCGAGGUACAUACGAUGCAAUCCGUCGAUCUCUGGUAGAAUAUGACCGGGGUUCUCCAGGGUGAGAAGCCUCGUCUUCUUAUUCUAUUUUUGUGUAAUUCGUUAAGUUGUCUGUACUGUUCUUGUAUCUCCAGAGUGUUUAGACUGUAGGGCGAUCCGUUUACGGGAGUCAUACUGGGUUCUAAGUUGGUUCACAUGACGAUGCGAUUACUCGUAUACUUAGGCAAUUCUACGUCCGAAAGUUCAUAUUAGAAUUCAUACAUGGUUUCACUAUCACAAUCUCGUGUAUACGAGUCGUAUAUAAUUAAGAUUGAAAAGGUAGUCGAAUAACUGAUUCUUCUUUAAGCUCACAUCCCAUCGGGGAAAAAGAAGUUAAAGUGGAAUCAUCAAUUCUAAACCUAUAGAACCUUGAUUAUAUAUCACUCUUAUGUAUACAUUCCUCAGUGAUAGAUCAAUCGUAUGAAUCCUUGGAUUGAACUUGACGUACUGCACGAGUGGUACUUCGGGGGUUUCUUCGGAAAAGAAAAGAACUAUGAGGUACUCAAUGCAUGAGUACUUCGCUGUUCUGAUAUGACGGCUUCGUUGGAAAAGCGAUCUAGAAGAAAGAGAUGUACGUAUGAAGCUGAUUGUUUCUUGAGGACGACAUGAUUCUGUUAGCACAAAUGAUAAGGAUUUUGUGAGCAAUUCUGGUUGACCCUAGAUGUACUUCGAUUGCUCAAGAAAAGAGUAAGAGUAUGCUCUCGAAAGGUUGACCUACAUCCCUCUGAUGCAGUCCUAGUACGGAUCGGAGGUAUGAUCGCGAAGGUUUGACCUACAUCCCUAUGAUGCAGUCCUAGUACAUAAUGGAAGUGAGUUUGUAGAAUGGUCUCAAGACGUUUGUCGUUCAAGCCGAGGUAUUGUGGGUUGGUGAAUAACAGGAUCCAACCACUAAGGGAGACUUGGAAAUGUCUCCGGAGCUAAAUUACUAUAAUCCAAUGACUUGACUAAAGCAUGUUUCAGAUAGACUCCAAUGAAAGUAUGAUACGAGUACUUGAACGAAGAAUGACACAGAAGUUAGCCGACUGUCAAUAUCUUUGACAUUCACCACGUAAAGAUUCGGGAAAAUGACCUUAUAAAGGUCUUACAUCAUAUCCAGAGAAGAUAAUUCUUGACAGCAUUAGGACCUAACCUAAAUUACUUACAAUACAAGAUAAUUUCAUAGAAAAUGCCUCAUCGGGAAAAGACAGAAAACGAUUACUUUCUAACAAGGAAAGUAAGGUAAAGAAUCUACUACUGGCGACGGUCAUCCCUCAGGUGAACUCUCAAUUCAGCCAGUUGACGUUCUACAUCAAGUAGAUGUCUUUCGUACACCCUUUGGCAUACUUGGAGCUCUAUAACUUUGGCUCGAGAUUCAGCUAGUGCUUGAAGCAGGGUUUCAUGGUUUCUCUCUGAUCUCUCGCGAGUAUCUUCUAGACGAAUGGUGCGGAGGGUAUGCAUUCUCGCAUUGGCGACAACUUCGGUAAUCUGAUGUAGGGCUGUCCUGCCUUGAAUCUCAUUUCGGGCCACUCUGCGGACCAAGAUUGGCAAGAUUCUGUAUGCUGAGCCCCCAUUGCUCAGGUCGUAGAAGCUUCGGUCAACAUUAAAUAGCAUGCGCUAAUCUUUUCCUUGGCUCCAUGUUUCCAAUCAUUCAACCCACUCAGGCGUCGGGCCAUGAAAAGUUGGACAAGGGUUAGGAAUUGGAACGGGAGCUGCAUGUGGUAGGUUCUCAACCUCGGGUUCGGAGUUAGCAUCGUUCGAAAGGUUUUCAUCAUGGUGAGCAUUCAAAGGGAUAGGAUAAUCAUUCUCUGGUUCUUCUCCAAACCAACCAGCAAUGACCUCAUUCAGGAGGUACGAGUUGCCGUGGGGAUGGAGUCCAGCCAUGUUAUCUAUGCGAGAAUUGGGGUAGGAAAAUAAUUGUUAGACGAACCAUCUAGAUAAUUAUUUAGAAAAUAUUCAUCAGUUACAUCGCUAUUUGUGAAGUGCAUACCGGUUAUAUGUAAUUGAAACAAGAUAGGCCUUCGAAUAAGUGACCUUGAAGGCAUGGUUUUGAUAAAACGGUUUAGUAUAAAGAAACAUUUGUUUGAAACACAAUUGUAAAUUAGUUUGAAAUGUAAUAUACAGAGUAAAAUAUACAGUGUACUAAGGAGUUUUAAACAUAUAAAGUGUUUAUGAAAAUCAUUUGAAGGAAACUGUUUGGUAAAACGGUUAAUGAGUAUUAAAUCAUUUAAAUGCUGCUUAUUAAUCACAUGUGAUUGAUAUAAUAAGUAGCAUGAUUCUACUUGUAUCCCCCCCAUAAAACAUUUAAAAAUAGUUAAAACAUUGAUUAAGGGGUAUGAACUCACUUGUGGUGAGUGGAUUGGAUUGAAGUGUCGGAUACUGUUUUAGGUGGCAAACGGAGACUUGUACACACGCACAAGCCUAUUUAUCAUAUAAUGAACAUAUGUAUAACUAAUUAGCCAAAUAAUAACUAAAAAAAUUAAGUUGGGACACUCUAGGACAUGUAAACACUUUGUAUAAGUGUUAUAAGUCCUAAGGGUUACAUCUAAGUUGUUGUAGAACAAGGCUAAAGGGGUUUAAAGUUCCAAAGGACCUUAUAUAAGUGUUUACUCUUCAAUAAACUAUACACAAGGAGUUUACGGUCGUAAACCCUUGAGUUUACGGCCAUAAGCUCUCAAACAUAAUGACAUUAUUUGUUUUGAAGUGUUUCUUUAUUUCUAGAAGAAGCUCUACUUGGUGGUUAAAUCCUAGGACUAGUGUAGGGCAUUAAGACACUCCUUUUAGGAGUUUUCGGCCCUAAGGCCAUUUCCUUUUGAGUUUACUGUCGUAAACUCAUAUGGAAGUGGGUAGUCUUAUGUUUUCAAGUCCUUAAUUUCACUAGGAAUAAAACUAGGCUUUUGUACUUGGCUUUAUGAGAGUUUAUGGCACCAUUAGGCACCAUUUAAUGGAGUUCACGGCCCUAGAACCUUUUGGGCCGUGAACACCUUACUCUUGGUGUUCUAAGUGUGUUAGCUAGUCCUAAACUCAUUUAGGUACAUGCCCAAAUUAGUCUCUUAGCUUAAGGAGGGUUUUUAGGGCACAUUGGCACAUAAAAAUGGAGUUCACGGCCCAAGAACUUCCUUGGACGUGAACUCACUUUCACCCUUUUUUUCUAAUUGAUUUUGUGUCCUAAACAUGAAAUGGUCGCUUCUAGUUUUAGUUCCAAGGCUUUGAGGGACAUUGGGACACUUUUGGCCCUUAAAAUGGAGUUUACUCCCCAAGUGUUCUUGGGUGGUAAACUCCCAAAGCUUGGGGUUUUGAUUCGAUUUUGAUGUUUCUAAACACAAUCUAAGCUAUAUAAUAUAACUAGAUCGAAGUACUCACAAUUUGGGAUAAAAACCCGAAGAUCCGUGAGAGAGAAUUUUGGCUUUUCUCUAAUUAGAAAUGUAACUAAUUAAUU
rnacentral:lncRNA from 1 species